rnacentral:rRNA from 1 species
GAUGAACGCUGGCGGCGUGCCUAAUACAUGCAAGUCGAGCGAACGGACGAGAAGCUUGCUUCUCUGAUGUUAGCGGCGGACGGGUGAGUAACACGUGGAUAACCUACCUAUAAGACUGGGAUAACUUCGGGAAACCGGAGCUAAUACCGGAUAAUAUUUUGAACCGCAUGGUUCAAAAGUGAAAGACGGUCUUGCUGUCACUUAUAGAUGGAUCCGCGCUGCAUUAGCUAGUUGGUAAGGUAACGGCUUACCAAGGCAACGAUGCAUAGCCGACCUGAGAGGGUGAUCGGCCACACUGGAACUGAGACACGGUCCAGACUCCUACGGGAGGCAGCAGUAGGGAAUCUUCCGCAAUGGGCGAAAGCCUGACGGAGCAACGCCGCGUGAGUGAUGAAGGUCUUCGGAUCGUAAAACUCUGUUAUUAGGGAAGAACAUAUGUGUAAGUAACUGUGCACAUCUUGACGGUACCUAAUCAGAAAGCCACGGCUAACUACGUGCCAGCAGCCGCGGUAAUACGUAGGUGGCAAGCGUUAUCCGGAAUUAUUGGGCGUAAAGCGCGCGUAGGCGGUUUUUUAAGUCUGAUGUGAAAGCCCACGGCUCAACCGUGGAGGGUCAUUGGAAACUGGAAAACUUGAGUGCAGAAGAGGAAAGUGGAAUUCCAUGUGUAGCGGUGAAAUGCGCAGAGAUAUGGAGGAACACCAGUGGCGAAGGCGACUUUCUGGUCUGUAACUGACGCUGAUGUGCGAAAGCGUGGGGAUCAAACAGGAUUAGAUACCCUGGUAGUCCACGCCGUAAACGAUGAGUGCUAAGUGUUAGGGGGUUUCCGCCCCUUAGUGCUGCAGCUAACGCAUUAAGCACUCCGCCUGGGGAGUACGACCGCAAGGUUGAAACUCAAAGGAAUUGACGGGGACCCGCACAAGCGGUGGAGCAUGUGGUUUAAUUCGAAGCAACGCGAAGAACCUUACCAAAUCUUGACAUCCCUUGACAACUCUAGAGAUAGAGCCUUCCCCUUCGGGGGACAAAGUGACAGGUGGUGCAUGGUUGUCGUCAGCUCGUGUCGUGAGAUGUUGGGUUAAGUCCCGCAACGAGCGCAACCCUUAAGCUUAGUUGCCAUCAUUAAGUUGGGCACUCUAAGUUGACUGCCGGUGACAAACCGGAGGAAGGUGGGGAUGACGUCAAAUCAUCAUGCCCCUUAUGAUUUGGGCUACACACGUGCUACAAUGGACAAUACAAAGGGCAGCGAAACCGCGAGGUCAAGCAAAUCCCAUAAAGUUGUUCUCAGUUCGGAUUGUAGUCUGCAACCCGACUACAUGAAGCUGGAAUCGCUAGUAAUCGUAGAUCAGCAUGCUACGGUGAAUACGUUCCCGGGUCU